rnacentral:rRNA from 1 species
CUGCUGCCUCCCGUAGGAGUCUGGGCCGUAUCUCAGUCCCAAUGUGGCCGGCCAACCUCUCAGUCCGACUACUGAUCGUCGCCUUGGCAGGCCGUUACCCCACCAACUAGCUAAUCAGACGCGAGGCCAUCUUUCGGCGAUAAAAUCUUUGGUAUCAAGACCAUGCGAUCCCGAUACGUCAUGCGGUAUUAGCAGUCGUUUCCAACUGUUGUCCCCCUCCGAAAGGCAGGUUCCUCACGCGUUACUCACCAGUCCCG